GCAAAGGCUCUUUUCAGAGCCCUCAUUUUUCCAGACAGGCGGUGG
rfam:Nomascus leucogenys chromosome 2, whole genome shotgun sequence.